CCGAGUUUACAACUCCCAAACCCAAUGUGAACGUUACCAAACUGUUGCCUCGGCGGGGUCACGCCCCGGGUGCGUAAAAGCCCCGGAACCUGGCGCCCGCCGGAGGAACCAACCAAACUCUUUCUGUAGUCCCCUCGCGGACGUAUUUCAUACAGCUCUGAGCAAAAAUUCAAAAUGAAUCA
rnacentral:misc_RNA from 1 species